CCAAUAGCGUAUAUUAAAGUUGUUGCAGUUAAAAAGCUCGUAGUUGAAUUUCGGAAUCUGUCCGUUGGUCGGGCUUCACUGUCCGUACUGGUGUGGUGGGUUCUUACCUUCUGAAUAACCAGCAUGCCAUUCACUUGGUUCGCUGGGGAAGCAGGACUAUUACCUUGAAAAAAUUAGAGUGCUCAAAGCAGGCUAGUGCCUGAAUACAUUAGCAUGGAAUAAUAAAAUAGGACGGCAUGGUUCUAUUUUGUUGGUUUCUAGGAUCACCGUAAUGAUUAAUAGGGAUAGUUGGGGGCAUUAGUAUUCAAUUGUCAGAGGUGAAAUUCUUGGAUUUAUUGAAGACUAACUUCUGCGAAAGCAUUUGCCAAGGAUGUUUUCAUUAAUCAAGAACGAAAGUUAGGGGAUCGAAGACGAUCAGAUACCGUCGUAGUCUUAACCAUAAACUAUGCCGACUAGGGAUCGGACGAUGUUAAUUUUUUAAUGACUCGUUCGGCGCCUUACG
rnacentral:rRNA from 1 species